UCCUACGGGAGGCAGCAGUGGGGAAUAUUGCACAAUGGGCGCAAGCCUGAUGCAGCGACGCCGCGUGAGGGAUGACGGCCUUCGGGUUGUAAACCUCUUUCAGUAGGGAAGAAGCGAAAGUGACGGUACCUGCAGAAGAAGCACCGGCUAACUACGUGCCAGCAGCCGCGGUAAUACGUAGGGUGCGAGCGUUAUCCGGAAUUAUUGGGCGUAAAGAGCUCGUAGGCGGUUUGUCGCGUCUGUCGUGAAAGUCCGGGGCUUAACCCCGGAUCUGCGGUGGGUACGGGCAGACUAGAGUGCAGUAGGGGAGACUGGAAUUCCUGGUGUAGCGGUGGAAUGCGCAGAUAUCAGGAGGAACACCGAUGGCGAAGGCAGGUCUCUGGGCUGUAACUGACGCUGAGGAGCGAAAGCAUGGGGAGCGAACAGGAUUAGAUACCCUGGGGUAGUCC
rnacentral:rRNA from 1 species